AGGCUUCUCCACCAUUUGCUCUCUGAUGUUCGGUGCGAUUUCUCUUCUCCUCAAGACAGUGCCCCUGGCUCCUGCGACACCCUCCCAAUCCGGGAACAACUUAAGGAACGCCGAGGUGCCAAGCAUGUAACCUGAGAUUGAUGAGCCUGUCAGCGGUUCCUUCUGCCCCCAGCCUUCCCCCUCUGCUGUGUGCUCUUCAGAUGGAUGAGCCAGGCGGGGGUGGGCAAGAAGGGGGAGAUGGAGGAAGGGACCCGCGGAGCCUCGAGCCAGAAGUGGAGCUUCCCCUGAAGAAGGAUGGGUUCACCUCAGAAAGCACCACGCUGGAAGCCUUGCUCCGUGGCGAGGGGGUUGAGAAGAAGGUGGAUGCCAGGGAGGAGGAAAGCAUCCAGGAAAUACAGAGGGUUUUGGAAAAUGAUGAAAAUGUAGAAGAAGGGAAUGAAGAAGAGGAUUUGGAAGAGGAUAUUCCCAAGCGAAAGAACAGGACUAGAGGACGGG
rnacentral:sRNA from 1 species